rnacentral:rRNA from 1 species
GACGAACGCUGGCGGUGUGCUUAACACAUGCAAGUCGAACGGAAAGGCACUGCUUUUGUGGGGUGCUCGAGUGGCGAACGGGUGAGUAACACGAGAGUAACCUGACCUAGUCUUUGGGGUAACUUCAGGAAACUGGGGUUAAUACAGGAUAGGAGCCGCCGCUGCAUGGUGGGGGUUGGAUAGUCUCGGCGGUUGGGGAUGGACUCGCGGCUUAUCAGCUUGUUAGUGGGGUAGUGGCUUACCAAGGCAUUGACGGAUACGCGGCCUGAGAGGGUGACCGGCCUCAUGGGUACUGAGGUACGGCCCAGACUCCAACGGGAGACAGCAGUGGGGAACAUUGCACAAUGGGCGGAAGCCUGAUGCAGCAACGCCGCGUGCGGGAUGACGGCCUUCGGGUUGAAAACCGCUUCCGCCUGUGACGAAGCGUUAGUGACGGUAAUGGGUAAAGAAGCACCGGCUAACUACGUG